rnacentral:rRNA from 2 species
AGUCGAACGAGUUCUCGUUGAUGAUCGGUGCUUGCACCGAGAUUCAGCAUGGAAAGAGUGGCGGACGGGUGAGUAACACGUGGGUAACCUGCCCUUAAGUGGGGGAUAACAUUUGGAAACAGAUGCUAAUACCGCAUAGAUCCAAGAACCGCAUGGUUCUUGGCUGAAAGAUGGCGUAAGCUAUCGCUUUUGGAUGGACCCGCGGCGUAUUAGCUAGUUGGUGAGGUAAUGGCUCACCAAGGCGAUGAUACGUAGCCGAACUGAGAGGUUGAUCGGCCACAUUGGGACUGAGACACGGCCCAAACUCCUACGGGAGGCAGCAGUAGGGAAUCUUCCACAAUGGACGCAAGUCUGAUGGAGCAACGCCGCGUGAGUGAAGAAGGCUUUCGGGUCGUAAAACUCUGUUGUUGGAGAAGAAUGGUCGGCAGAGUAACUGUUGUCGGCGUGACGGUAUCCAACCAGAAAGCCACGGCUAACUACGUGCCAGCAGCCGCGGUAAUACGUAGGKGGCAAAGCGUUAUCMKUGAUWUAUUGGGCGUAAAGCGAGCGCRGGCGGUUUUUUUAARUCUGAUGUGAAAGCCCUCGGCUUAWCCSAGGAAGMGCAUCGGAAACUGGGAAACUUGAGUGCAGAAAGAGGACAGUGGAACUCCAUGUGUAGCGGUGAAAUGCGUAGAUAUAUGGAAGAACACCAGUGGCGAARGCGGCUGUCUGGUCUGUAACUGACGCUGAGRCUCGAAAGCAUGGGUAGCGAACAGGAUUAGAUACCCUGGUAGUCCAUGCCGUAAACGAUGAAUGCUAGGUGUUGGAGGGUUUCCGCCCUUCASUGCCGCAGCUAACGCAUUAARCAUUCCGCCUGGGGAGUACGACCGCAAGGUUGAAACUCAAAGGAAUUGACGGGRGCCCGCACAAGCGGUGGAGCAUGUGGUUKAAUUYGAAGCAACGCGAAGAACCUUUCCAGGUCUUGACAUCUUUUGAUCACCUGAGAGAUCAGGUUUCCCCUUCGGGGGCAAAAUGACAGGUGGUGCAUGGUUGUCGUCAGCUCGUGUCGUGAGAUGUUGGGUUAAGUCCCGCAACGAGCGCAACCCUUAUGACUAGUUGCCAGCAUUUAGUUGGGCACUCUAGUAAGGCUGCCGGUGACAAACCGGAGGAAGGUGGGGAUGACGUCAAAUCAUCAUGCCCCUUAUGACCUGGGCUACACCCGUGCUACAAUGGAUGGUACAACGAGUUGCGAGACCGCGAGGUCAAGCUAAUCUUUUAAAACCAUUCUCAGUUGGGACUGUAGGCUUCAACUCGCCUACCCGAAGUCGGAAUCGCUAGUAAUCGCGGAUCAUCACGCGGGGGUGAAUACGUUCCCGGCCCUUGUACACCCCGCCCGUCACCCCAUCAGAGUUUGUAACACCCGCAGCCGUGUGGCGUAACCCUCCUAG